rnacentral:rRNA from 1 species
GAGUUUGAUCCUGGCUCAGAUUGAACGCUGGCGGCAUGCUUUACACAUGCAAGUCGGACGGCAGCACAGAGAAGCUUGCUUCUUGGGUGGCGAGUGGCGAACGGGUGAGUAAUAUAUCGGAACGUACCGAGUAGUGGGGGAUAACUAAUCGAAAGAUUAGCUAAUACCGCAUAUUCUCUGAGGAGGAAAGCUGGGGACCUUCGGGCCUAGCGCUAUUUGAGCGGCCGAUAUCUGAUUAGCUGGUUGGUGGGGUAAAGGCCUACCAAGGCGACGAUCAGUAGCGGGUCUGAGAGGAUGAUCCGCCACACUGGGACUGAGACACGGCCCAGACUCCUACGGGAGGCAGCAGUGGGGAAUUUUGGACAAUGGGCGCAAGCCUGAUCCAGCCAUGCCGCGUGUCUGAAGAAGGCCUUCGGGUUGUAAAGGACUUUUGUCAGGGAAGAAAAGGCAGUUGCUAAUAUCAGCUGCUGAUGACGGUACCUGAAGAAUAAGCACCGGCUAACUACGUGCCAGCAGCCGCGGUAAUACGUAGGGUGCGAGCGUUAAUCGGAAUUACUGGGCGUAAAGCGAGCGCAGACGGUUAGCUAAGCAAGAUGUGAAAUCCCCGGGCUCAACCUGGGAACUGCGUUUUGAACUGGCUGGCUAGAGUGUGUCAGAGGGGGGUAGAAUUCCACGUGUAGCAGUGAAAUGCGUAGA